CCUGCCCUUAGAUGUACUGCAGAUGUGGCUGCUGUGUCACUUGGGUAUCAUCCAGAGGAAAGAGGCUGUGAGACUGAGCCUGUGCUCAGUGUUUUGACCUAUGAGAAUCUGAAUAAUUAGUAGCCUAAAAUU
ensembl:snoRNA Gm22670 small nucleolar RNA SNORA17